UUUCUGUCAUCAAAACAAUAUGGCGAACAUUUCUCAACUCUCUGCUUUGCAAGAAUUACUUAAACCGCCGAAAAAUGAAACGUCUGAUGAAGAAAACGUAAGUUAAACUAAGGAAAAUAUUAUAUAUAAUGGUAUAAAAAUUAGUUUACACUAUUUUUUCGCUUAAAAUCAGAUUAAUUCGAGUGAAUUGAAGGGAAACGUACAGACACCUGGCCACAUAGGACCAGCUAAAUCUAAGGAAACACCGCAACAUAUAAAUAGAG